rnacentral:rRNA from 1 species
CAAGCUUCAGAGGUGGGGGGUACGAUUGUGGAAGAUCGCAUGGAGGCAGGGGUUGGAGAUGUGAUGCAAGGGUGCGGGGAAUUGGGUGGAAGGACAGUCGUUAAUGUGGAGUCCGGACGGGCGUGA